UUGUAUUUUCUACUCCAGUUAUUGCCUGCAGCAAUAUUUAUUUUUAACAGGUAAGAAAAUUCAUUCAGCUACUUCCUGCAAAUAUUCAGUUACAAAGUUUCAGGACCGUCAUGAUCCUUAUCAGGAAACCUAAAUUAAAGGCAGAAGGAAAACUCAAGCACAAGUUUUACUUCCCACCAAAAUAACAAGAUUCAGUGAAGACUGACAAAGAGUUGGCCAAAUGAAAAACAGGUUUUUUGUUUUGUGUUUUAAAUUACAAAGUGUGUUUUUCUUCUGACUACA